UACGUAGGCAGCGAGCGUUGUUCGGAGUUACUGGGCGUAAAGGGUGUGUAGGCGGUUGUUUAAGUUUGGUGUGAAAUCUCCCGGCUCAACUGGGAGGGUGCGCCGAAUACUGAAUGACUUGGAGUGCGGGAGAGGAAAGUGGAAUUCCUGGUGUAGCGGUAGAAAUGCGUAGAUAUCAGGAGGAACACCGGUGGUGGUAGACGG
rnacentral:rRNA from 1 species